UACAGAGGGGGCAAGCGUUAUUCGGAAUUAUUGGGCGUAAAGGGCGCGUAGGCGGCUUUGCAAGUGACGGGUGAAAUCCCUCGGCUUAACCGGGGAACUGCCUGUCAAACUGCAUGGCUUGAGACCGGGAGAGGUGAGUGGAAUUCCCAGUGUAGCGGUGAAAUGCGUAGAUAUUGGGAGGAACACCAGUGGCGAAGGCGGCUCACUGGACCGGUACUGACGCUGAGGCGCGAAAGCGUGGGGAGCAAACAGG
rnacentral:rRNA from 1 species